CGAACGCUGGCGGCAGGCCUAAUACAUGCAAGUCGAACGGCUCUUCGGAGCAGUGGCGGACGGGUGAGUAACGCGUGGGAAUGUGCCCUUAGGUACGGAACAACACAGGGAAACUUGUGCUAAUACCGUAUGUGCCCUUCGGGGGAAAGAUUUAUCGCCUUUGGAGCAGCCCGCGUUGGAUUAGGUAGUUGGUGAGGUAAAGGCUCACCAAGCCGACGAUCCAUAGCUGGUCUGAGAGGAUGACCAGCCACACUGGGACUGAGACACGGCCCAGACUCCUACGGGAGGCAGCAGUAGGGAAUCUUGCGCAAUGGGCGAAAGCCUGACGCAGCCAUGCCGCGUGUAUGAUGAAGGUCUUAGGAUUGUAAAAUACUUUCACCGGGGAAGAUAAUGACGGUACCCGGAGAAGAAGCCCCGGCUAACUUCGUGCCAGCAGCCGCGGUAACAC
rnacentral:rRNA from 1 species